AAAAGAGCUACGGCGAUGACAGCGGCGGCGGCAGCAGCAGCAGCAGCAACGUAAAAAUCUUUCUUACCUCAAAGCAUGGGCGUUUGUGAUAGAAUUAUAAUAUCUGGGCUGUUAAAAAAUAAAAUAAAAUCCGGCCAUUAGAUGUUAAGCAGUAGUAUUAUUUGCUGGGCUUUAACUGUCGUCCGGAUAAGGCAACCCAAGUAGGGUGAUCCGAAUUACGGAAGGCGUCCCGUCGUCUCCCCUUCUUGCUCUGGAGCUGAAUCAUGCAUGAAAGGAUUGCAUCUCCUUUUGGAAAGCGCAGCAGGAUCCAGUUUUCCAGGUUGGGAUUCUGGUGAUGAACAGUUGCAGCCCAAACUCUACCACAUCUCGUAUCUGGAAAUGUAAGGAACUGACCCUUAGGAUCUUCAUGCAGAACAUCUGAUCUUCUCAGUAUGAGCAGCUGUUAGAAAAACAAACACCAGGAUAAAAAUAAACAAGACCGUUUAAUAUAAA